rnacentral:rRNA from 1 species
CUGCGAGUGAAGCGGGAAAAGCUCAGACUGAAAAUCUUCGGAAUUGUAGUCUGGAGAAGUAUGGUCAGCCGAUGAUGAUGAGUGAAGUCUUCUGGAAAGGAGCGCCUUGGAGGGUGAUAGCCCCGUUCAUACUUAUCAUUAGAAGCGUACGACCUGCUUUCUACGAGUCGUGUUGUUUGGGACUGCAGCACUAAGUGGGUGGUAAAUUCCAUCUAAAGCUAAAUAUUGGUGGGAGACCGAUAGCGAACAAGUACCGUGAGGGAAAGAUGCAAAGAACUUUGAAAAGAGAGUUAAAUAGUACCUGAAAUUGCUGAAAUGGAACCGAUGGGAAGCAGUGUCGGUGGCGGGUAUUUAUACCUGUCACAAGCCAGGCUUCUUUUCUGGUGCGGGAAAGGCUGAUAAACUAGUUUAGGUUAUCUACGCCGUCGUGCUAGCGAA